CUGUAAUCCCAGCACUUUGGGAGGCCGACGCAGGAGGAUCAUGAGGUCAGGAGUUCGAGACUAGCUUGGCCAGCAUGGUGAGACUCCGUCUCUACUAAAAUACAAAAAAUUAGCCGGGCACGUGGUGCGUGCCUGUAGUCCCAGGUACUCGGGAGGCUGAGGCAGGAGAAUUGCUUGAACCUGGCAGGCAAAGGUUGCAGUGAGCGGAGAUCGCACCAUUGCACUCCAGCCUGAGCGACAUGGCGAGACUCCUGAGACUCCGUCUCAAAAAAAAAAAACAAAACAAAACAAAACAAAAAAAACAACAAAAAAGAGGCUAGGAUCUGGCAUGAGGCCGACUGAGAUUCACAUAUCCUGGUUCCAGCCUUUUUGUGCAGGAUUUGUCAUCUAUAACAAGUUCUGGGUGAUGUCAAUGCUGCUGGGCUGAGGACCCCACUUGAAGACCCGCUGGAUAAGGCCACUCACAGUGGAUGCACUCUGACAACACAGUCAGCAGCUGCAGGACAGAGUGUUCCAAGUCCACCUGAGCCUGGGCUGAGUCAGAGAAGCAGAGCUCUGGCUGUUUUCCUCUUUCCCAUUUUCUACCCUGCCUCUGUGGCUUCCUGAGUCCUUGAGAGCUAGUCCUUGUGAACAGGGGCCAAAAAUAUUCUCUUAAUUUUGAUGCCUUAUUUAUGUAUUUAUUUACAGCUAGGCCAGUUCCUGGGCCUGCUUAGGUUGAAGGGAUUUUUUCUGUGGUUUGAAUGAACUAAUUUUUUGGCUAAAAGCACUGA